GACGGGGGGGGCAAGUGUUCUUCGGAAUGACUGGGCGUAAAGGGCACGUAGGCGGUGAAUCGGGUUGAAAGUGAAAGUCGCCAAAAGAUGGCGGAAUGCUCUCGAAACCAAUUCACUUGAGUGAGACAGAGGAGAGUGGAAUUUCGUGUGUAGGGGUGAAAUCCGUAGAUCUACGAAGGAACACCAAUGGCGAAGGCAGCUCUCUGGGACGGUACUGACGCUGAGACGCGAAAGCGUGGGGAGCGAACAGG
rnacentral:rRNA from 1 species